rnacentral:rRNA from 1 species
AUUGAACGCUGGCGGCAGGCCUAACACAUGCAAGUCGAGCGAGCGGCGGACGGGUGAGUAAUGCAUGGGGAUCUGCCCGAUAGAGGGGGUCAACUACCGGAAACGGCUGCUAAUACCGCAUACUAUCGCUUGAACCCAUAUGGGUUUAGCUAGCAGGUCGGGUAAAGGCUAACCUGGGCGACGAUCUCUACCUGGUCUGAGAGGAUGAUCAGCCACACUGGGACUGAGACACGGCCCAGACGCCUACGGUAGGCAGCAGUGGGGAAUAUUGCACAAUGGGCGCAAGCCUGAUGCAGCCAUGCCGCGUGUAUGAAGAAGGCCUUAGGGUUGUAAAGUACUUUCAGCGGGGAGGCGUUACCCGCAGAAGAAGCACCGGCUAACUCCGUGCCAGCAGCCGCGGUAAUAC